AUUGAACGCUGGCGGCAGGCCUAACACAUGCAAGUCGAGCGUGAAAGUCCUUCGGGAUGAGUAAAGCGGCGGACGGGUGAGUAACGCGUAGGAAUCUACCUAAUAGUGGGGGAUAACGUUUCGAAAGGAACGCUAAUACCGCAUACGUUCUGAGGAAGAAAGCAGGGGCUCGCAAGACCUUGCGCUAUUAGAUGAGCCUGCGUCCGAUUAGCUAGUUGGUGGGUAAAGGCCUACCAAGGCGACGAUCGGUAACUGGUCUGAGAGGAUGAUCAGUCACACUGGAACUGAGACACGGUCCAGACUCCUACGGGAGGCAGCAGUGGGAAUAUUGGACAAUGGGGGCGAACCCUGAUCCAGCCAUGCCGCGUGUGUGAAGAAGGCCUUC
rnacentral:rRNA from 1 species